GCCAUCCUUUUCUUGGGGUUGCGCUACUGUCCAAUGAACGUCUAGUGAGGGCAGUACUGCUAACGUCCCACAUCAGGCUCCCUGCUCCUUGGGAGC